CACACGGAGGAGCAGACAAUUUAAUGCCCGAGAUGUCUUUGCUCCUAUUUGUCAUGAAGCUCUAAGCCCUGCGUGUCCGUGUCACAUGCAGGGGGGUGCUAUGGGGGCGCCGAGGAAGGAUUUCAGUCAUCAGUCCUUCAGCAGAAAACAGCUGAAGCCAGAUACCGGUGUUUAUCCUGUUUCAUCCUUUAAGAAAACCUCAUAGCAACCACUCCAGGACCCCAAACGGUCUGAAGGGAAGCUUCGAUCGGAAAUCAUCUGUUAAUUGGACCAGGUGGGAAGGUCUCAGCCCCAGGCCACUCUUCCUCCCAGUUCAGCUUCUGGAUUCAGCUCAGAUGUCACCUCCUUAGAGAAUCCUUCCCUGGGCCCCCCCGAAAAGAGUCCUCUCCCUGCCAGUCACUUCUCUGUCCCAUUGCCCUGUU